CGACAGUGUGUCCUGUGCAGU
rnacentral:miRNA from 1 species